GGACUGCCACUGAGGAAAACAACACUUCCAGCUGCCGGUUUUUGUCAUCGUCACCAUCAAAUGAAGGAGGAGCUGACGACGACUCAAGCUCGGGCUGAAGUGACAGCUUACACCAGGCCUAGCCACCGCACUCAACCACCAUAAUUUUCGCCGCCUUGCUCAAUCCUAAUCUCCGAUUUCGGGCGACUCCCUCAACUCACCGUUGCUGCCAAUGUACUCAAGCUGAUCUGGGCUUCAAGACUCUGAAGUUCGAUCACCAACCAACACCGGGAAACUGAAGCACGCCCCAUCGCCGGAGCUAGGUUUCUGCAAUCCUUCAAUUUUCUCUCUACGGUCAUAAUGGAGCUCCAACACCUCCUGAAAUAGAAUCAACACUUCUUCUUUCACCAAAGCCCCAAUUCCCGACCUUCAAUUCCUACCAGAGCCGAAGUACGCGUCGUCGCUGGUACGUGAACCACCGCAACUUCGCCGUCAGUUUUCUAGGCUUCUUGAUUUGGUAAGUCUCGUACCUUCAUUUGGUUGGAACCUUUGGGAUAUUGUGAAUUGGAAACCAUAAAUGUAUACUAUUUAAUUAUGUGAACCUCAGUAUUUGGAAUCGAGAAUUUGGGAAGUUUUGGAGGAGUGGAGCUGCUAGGUCAGUUUGGUUUAUGUUCAGGAUUGGUAAGAAGCUUAAACUCAGUUUGAUUACGAAAUUCGCUAUGGGUUGAUUUUUUAUUGUAAUUUAUCUGCUAGGAUUCCAAAGGAUUAAUGGUGGUCGAAUGCAGUUCCAAUGAAUUAAUUUCUAAAUUGGAAAAGAAGAAGAGAAAAUUAUACAAACAAUAUCCGAACUAAGGGUCACUAUUAACUUCAGUACCCGACUAUGCAAAACUAUCACUUUGGUACUCCAAGUUUGAAGCCCGACCCAAUAAUGAUACACUCCGUUCAUGACGGCGUUAACUAGCUAACCACAUGGCAUAUUUUGAGGGGCAAGGAUGCUAGUUGAGCUCUGGCAAAGAUGACUGAGAAUGAAGAAGACAUCGAUCACCGCCAACCGCCAAGGCCUCUUUAACAAAGAGAUCGGGAGACCAAAAACAAAAAUCACAGAGCAAAAAUUGUGGCCCUGAGAAAGAGAACCCGAGCCCUAAAGCCAUAGAUGGCAAUCCAUGGUGGAUCUGAAUCUGAAAACGACGGUGUUUGCUGCGAGGAAUGUGGGUCCGGCCACUUACCGGCGGAGCUUCUUCUUUGCGACAGGUGAGACACAGGGCACCAUCUGUUUUGCCUAGGACCCAUCUUGGUUAAUGUGCCAAAAGGCUCUUGGUUUGGGCCUUGUUGCUCCAAACAGAAGAAACACAAGUGUGAGAUUCAUUAAUUUGGCUUGUUUUGUUGGUUCAGAUUCGGAUUUGGUUCAAUAAAUUUUCAGGGA